rnacentral:rRNA from 1 species
GAUCAUGGCUCAGAUUGAACGUUGGCGGCAUGCUUUACACAUGCAAGUCGAACGGCAGCACAGGGAGCUUGCUCCCGGGUGGCGAGUGGCGCACGGGUGAGUAAUACAUCGGAACGUGUCCUGUUGUGGGGGAUAACUGCUCGAAAGGGUGGCUAAUACCGCAUGAGACCUGAGGGUGAAAGCGGGGGAUCGCAAGACCUCGCGCAACUGGAGCGGCCGAUGCCCGAUUAG